UGGAAACAAAAAAUUUUAAUUUUUUGUGGGGAGGGGGAGGGGAGUAGAAUGUGUGAUAAGAAUAAAGAACAAAGAUGAGGAAACUGGGGUGCAUCAGAAUAGCCCAUCCGUGCUUUGGCAUUCCCAGGGAGCCUAUAAAAGGGGGUGAACUACAGCUCCAAAACGGAGAGUCGGGGAAGUGCGCAGCAGCCGCGGCCGCUCCGCGACGCUCCCUUUGGCUACUCCUUCGCGCACUCUAAACUCACUCACUCUUUUUUGGAUUUCGUCAUCUUUUCAAAAAAUCAAUAAAAAUAUUCUGGAGCCUCCGAGGGUCCACUUCUUGGUCUCAUCCGGAUCCUCAGAUCCUCCUCUAUCAUUCCCGACAAUUGGAAAAAAUGUCUGGGGGGGUCCCUGCGGCCCAGGGGCCGCUAUUGGGGGGGCGGGUGGGGAGAGGUGGGGAAGAGAGGGGGAGGGAGUAGAGGAGGAAGAGCGCCGCAGCCUCGGCAGCUGGAGUCGGAGCAGGGGGGGGGGACAGUUUCAAAAAAUAAUUAAAAAUCGAGGAAAUAUCCUAGAAAAGCCCUUUUGGCGUGAAAACCCCAAAGAGGAAUCAGGCUUCCCGAAACGUAAGUUUCGGGUGCCAGAAAGGUCUGUAUUCCGACCCCUGGGGCUUUGAAUCCCGGGAGGAAACUUGAAGGGGUGAGCGCCGCGGCGGGAGUGUCCGGCUGCGGCCCACAAGGACAGAAACUAGGGAACGUGGUGACGAGCUGGGGGACAGACUGGAACAGGGAGCCCUGGAAAGACGCAUGGGGGGCUCCGACCUCUCCUUUAGGGGUGACCCGAUAUUCCCCCUACACACACGCCCUCCCCCCCUUCCUACCCCACCCAAAUCUCCGCACAGAGGAAGCUGGAAAGCCAAACUGUGUAAGCCUUUUUCUGGUUUACUACAUGCCAAGGACUGUGCCAAAUCAUUCACAUAAAACCAUGAGCAUGCAUCACCUUAUUUGGUCCUCCCACAGUCUAAUGGGGAAGGAAACAAGGACCCAAAUUCUCAGUGGCUACGGGAUGAGCUGGGACGCAAACACAAUAUUAGAACCCCGGCCAUCAGAGUCUAUGAUUUGUCCCUGGUUUGUGUCUCAACAAAAAGAAGUCAGAGCCUUUCUUACUUCCUUAAAUCUCCUAUAGCUCCUGGAGAUUCUACAAUGAAACUGGCAGACUCCUCCUCGUCUCUACCUGUGCUGUCUCCCUCUCUAGUCCCAGACACUGAGAGCAGGUGCCCCGUGGCCCCGUCAAGCCAGAUCACCAAGAAGACUGCAUGCCUCGCUCUAGCCUUCCUAAGAUGGGAAAGUAGACUCCUGUGUUUGAGGGAAAUUGCCUGAUUUUGAGAGAAACAUAAAGGAAUUUUUUUCCCUUAAGUGAACAUUCAGCUUGUAAAAAUGAAAUCUGGAAGAACUUCUGCAAUCUC